rnacentral:rRNA from 1 species
CAGCAGGCGCGAAAACUCUACAAUGCAGGCAACUGCGAUAGGGGAACAUCGAGUGAUCCUCAUAUUGGGGGUCUGUCCACCCGUCUAAAAAACGGGUGUUAGCAAGGGCCGGGCAAGACCGGUGCCAGCCGCCGCGGUAAUACCGGCGGCUCGAGUGGUGGCCGAUAUUAUUGAGUCUAAAGGGUCCGUAGCCGGCUUUGCAAGUCUCUCGGGAAAUCCAGCGGCUUAACCGUUGGUCGUCCGGGGGGUACUACAUUGCUUGGGACUGGGAGAGGUAGGAGGUACCCAGGGGGUAGGAGUGAAAUCCUGUAAUCCUUUGGGGACCACCGGUGGCGAAGGCGUCCUACCAGAACAGGUCCGACGGUGAGGGACGAAAGCUAGGGGCACGAACCGGAUUAGAUACCCGGGUAGUCCUAGCCGUAAACGAUGCUCGCUAGGUGUCACAACAGUCGUGAACUGUUGUGGUGCCGUAGGGAAGCCGUGAGCGAGCCACUUGGGAAGUACGACCGCAAGGUUGAAACUUAAAGGAAUUGGCGGGGGAGCACAAGGGCGAUUCGCGG